rnacentral:rRNA from 1 species
UGGGGAAUAUUGCACAAUGGAGGAAACUCUGAUGCAGCAACGCCGCGUGGAGGAUGACGCAUUUCGGUGUGUAAACUCCUUUUAUAGGGGAAGAUAAUGACGGUACCCUAUGAAUAAGCACCGGCUAACUCCGUGCCAGCAGCCGCGGUAAUACGGAGGGUGCAAGCGUUACUCGGAAUCACUGGGCGUAAAGGAUGCGUAGGCUGGAAAUCAAGUCGAAAGUGAAAUCCAACGGCUCAACCGUUGAACUGCUUUCGAAACUGAUUACCUAGAAUAUGGGAGAGGUAGAUGGAAUUAGUGGUGUAGGGGUAAAAUCCGUAGAUAUCACUAGGAAUACCGAUUGCGAAGGCGAUCUACUGGAACAUUAUUGACGCUGAGGCAUGAAAGCGUGGGGAGCAAACA